UACAGAGGGUGCGAGCGUUAAUCGGAAUUACUGGGCGUAAAGCGUGCGUAGACGGUUAUUUAAGUCGGGUGUGAAAGCCCCGGGCUCAACCUGGGAACCGCGCUUGAGACUGGAGAACUAGAGUUCGGGAGAGGAUGGUGGAAUUCCCAGUGUAGAGGUGAAAUUCGUAGAUAUUGGGAAGAACACCGAUGGCGAAGGCAGCCAUCUGGACCGACACUGACGCUGAGGCGCGAAAGCGUGGGGAGCAAACAGG
rnacentral:rRNA from 1 species